rnacentral:rRNA from 1 species
AUUGAACGCUGGCGGCAGGCUUAACACAUGCAAGUCGAGCGGGGUGAUGGUGCUUGCACUAUCACUUAGCGGCGGACGGGUGAGUAAUGCUUAGGAAUCUGCCUAUUAGUGGGGGACGACAUCUCGAAAGGGAUGCUAAUACCGCAUACGUCCUACGGGAGAAAGCAGGGGAUCACUUGUGACCUUGCGCUAAUAGAUGAGCCUAAGUCGGAUUAGCUAGUUGGUGGGGUAAAGGCCUACCAAGGCGACGAUCUGUAGCGGGUCUGAGAGGAUGAUCCGCCACACUGGGACUGAGACACGGCCCAGACUCCUACGGGAGGCAGCAGUGGGGAAUAUUGGACAAUGGGGGGAACCCUGAUCUAGCCAUGCCGCGUGUGUGAAGAAGGCCUUAUGGUUGUAAAGCACUUUAAGCGAGGAGGAGGCUCUUUUGGUUAAUACCCAAGAUGAGUGGACGUUACUCGCAGAAUAAGCACCGGCUAACUCUGUGCCAGCAGCCGCAGUAA